rnacentral:rRNA from 1 species
GAUGAACGCUGGCGGCGUGCCUAAUACAUGCAAGUCGAGCGAAUGGAUUAAGAGCUUGCUCUUAUGAAGUUAGCGGCGGACGGGUGAGUAACACGUGGGUAACCUGCCCAUAAGACUGGGAUAACACCGGGAAACCGGGGCUAAUACCGGAUAACAUUUUGAACCGCAUGGUUCGAAAUUAGAAGGCAGCUUCGGCUGUCACUUAUGGAUGGACCUAGGUCGCAUUAGCUAGUUGGUGAGGUAACGGCUCACCAAGGCAACGAUGCGUAGCCGACCUGAGAGGGUGAUCGGCCACACUGGGACUGAGACACGGCCCAGACUCCUACGGGAGGCAGCAGUAGGGUAUCUUCCGCAAUGGACGAAAGUCUGACGGAGCAACGCCGCGUGAGUGAUGAAGGCUUUCGGGUCGUAAAACUCUGUUGUUAGGGAAGAACAAGUGCUAGUUGAAUAAGCUGGCACCUUGACGGUACCUAACCAGAAAGCCACGGCUAACUACGUGCCAGCCGCCGCGGUAA